rnacentral:tRNA from 1 species
ACAGGUUUGGUCGAGUGGUUAAGACGGUAGAUUUAGGCUCUACGCCGAAAGGCUCGGGAGUUCGAUCCUCCCAACCUGUA